UCGUCUGAUCAACUUGGAAGCAAACUCUUUCCCGUGUAACGGCCGUGUUAAACACAUAAUCGAAAAAUUGUGGUUGGUGUAAACGUAGGUUUAAAUUAAAUGGGCCAUAGUUCUUUUAAUCGAAAUCGAAUUAUCGUACUGUUUUGAAAUGUCGGCCGGUGUGAUAUGCGAGGACUUUCUGGAGUUCCAGGAGAGCAUCAAAAAAAUGCGUGCAAUGGAUGAUAAUAUAAUACAUAUGUUAAACACAUCACUGCCAACCGAAUCUUUUAAAGGUCAGGUUAAUUGCGAGAAAGUGUGUACGAAUUUAUUUAACCAAUUACAACAAGUCCAUAAUGCGCGGGAGAAAAAAAUUAAUGAUUGUAUUCUUUCAUCUGCGGAAACGUUGAAGAAAUUACGUGAGUUACGUGAGAAUAACCGGGACAAUGUCGAAAUUGACAAGAAAUUCAAAUUGGAGCAGCGGAAGUACUGAAACGUUUAUCUUCGCCCAUACCUCCUCAAUGGUUUGUUUUAGCUGUUAUACUGCUUUGAUCAGCUAAAAAAUGAUGUGGAAAGUAUGUCCCAUAAAUCCUCUAUUUAAUUCAGAUCUAGACAUAAUAACGGAUACCGAAAAUAGGGAAUAUUACGCGACUCUAAAAAGGAUGUAGUAUACCCAGCGACGUGGAUAAGCGCAUUAUCCAUCUGGAACUCCCAGUGAUAUUCCUCAGAUAUAAAUUCAAUGUCCAGCAAUUGCAUAUAUUUUUGUUUUCAUACGACUCAGGACAUCAUUCGAGAUCCACCGCCAUGGUUGCGCUCAUACUUCGUCUUUUACAGUCCGAAGUAAACGUGGAAGAUAUUGUAAACGAGAGGUCAUUAAAAGCAUUCAAAGAACGAUGCCGAACAUAUCUCCAUUCCAAUGCAACAUGAUGGAUGGUCUUAAAAAUGUAUAUUUAAUUUGAAAUUUUCACAUAGAAAUUUGUUUUAUUGCACAUAAUAUAUUGAUCUUGUUUUUCUUCACAAUUUCGGCUUAAAAUUGAAAUUCA